AGCUGCGUGGCGCAACGGUAACGCGCCGCCCUCAUAAGGUGGAGAUGGCUGGAUCGAAACCAGCCGCAGCUA